rnacentral:rRNA from 1 species
ACGAACGCUGGCGGCGUGCUUAACCCAUGCAAGUCGAACGGUGAAGCGCCUUCCUUUUUGGUGGGUGUGGAUGAGUGGCGAACGGGUGAGUAACACGUGAGUAACCUGCCCCCUUCUUCUGGAUAACCGCAUGAAAGUGUGGCUAAUACGGGAUAUUCUGGGUCUGUCGCAUGAUGGGUCUGGGAAAGAUAUUGUUUCGGUGGGGGAUGGGCUCGCGGCCUAUCAGCUUGUUGGUGGGGUGAUGGCCUACCAAGGCGGUGACGGGUAGCCGGCCUGAGAGGGUGGACGGUCACACUGGGACGGAGACACGGCCCAGACUCCUACGGGAGGCAGCAGUGGGGAAUAUUGCACAAUGGGCGCAAGCCUGAUGCAGCGACGCCGCGUGAGGGAUGGAGGCCUGCGGGUUGUGAACCUCUUUCGCCAGUGAAGCAGGCCUGCCUCGUUUGUGGGUGGGUUGACGGUAGCUGGAUAAGAAGCGCCGGCUAACUACGUG